AGAGUUUGAUCAUGGCUCAGGAUGAACGCUAGCGGCAGGCUUAAUACAUGCAAGUCGAACGGCAAGUUGAAUAGCAAUAUUUGACCUAGAGUGACGUACGGGUGCGUAACACGUAUGCAACCUACCCAAAACUGGAGGAUAGCUCGGGGAAACUCGAAUUAACCCUCCAUAAGAUCAUAGAGUAGCAUUACUUAGUGACUAAAACUCCGGUGGUUUUGGAUGGGCAUGCGUCUGAUUAGUUAGUUGGCGGGGUAACGGCCCACCAAGACGAUGAUCAGUAGGGGAACUGAGAGGUUGAUCCCCCACACUGGCACUGAGAUACGGGCCAGACUCCUACGGGAGGCAGCAGUAGGGAAUAUUGGUCAAUGGAUGCAAGUCUGAACCAGCCAUGCCGCGUGCAGGAAGAAGGCGUUAUGCGUUGUAAACUGCUUUUGCCAGGGGAUAAAAAUUCCAUGCGUGGAAGAUUGAAGGUACCUGGUGAAUAAGCCACGGCUAACUACGUGCCAGCAGCCGCGGUAAUACGUAGGUGGCAAGCGUUGUCCGGAUUUAUUGGGUUUAAAGGGUGCGUAGGCGGCCCUGUAAGUCAGUGGUGAAAUACUCCAGCUUAACUGGAGGGGUGCCAUUGAUACUGCAGGGCUUGAGUGGAGUCGAAGUAGGCGGAAUUGACGGUGUAGCGGUGAAAUGCUUAGAUAUCGUCAAGAACACCGAUAGUGAAGACAGUUUACUAGGCUUCUACUGACGCUGAGGCACGAAAGUGUGGGGAUCAAACAGGAUUAGAUACCCUAGUAGUCC
rnacentral:rRNA from 1 species